rnacentral:lncRNA from 11 species
UGCAUUUGUGCUUGAGAAUUACUGUAUAUACUCGAGUAUAAGCCUAGUUUUUUAGCCCUUUUUUAGGACUGAAAAAAAACCCCUCCUCGGCUUAUACUCGGGUGAGGGUCCUGGUGGGCUUAUAUUCAGGUCGGCUUAUACUCAAGUAUAUACGUUCUUUGCUGACAUCUGAGGGAGGGGAGAAAAAAGAAAAAUUAUUUCCAGACACCUUGCAUGGACCAAUCAGACGCUUGCUUAUACAGGUAAAGCAUUUAUUUUUGCCAAAAAUAUGAUCUUCUUUCUACUUGGGGUGAAUUUAUUCUGCAGUUU